rnacentral:rRNA from 1 species
GAUGAACGCUGGCGGCGUGCCUAAUACAUGCAAGUCGAGCGAAUGGAUUAAGAGCUUGCUCUUAUGAAGUUAGCGGCGGACGGGUGAGUAACACGUGGGUAACCUGCCCAUAAGACUGGGAUAACUCCGGGAAACCGGGGCUAAUACCGGAUAACAUUUUGAACCGCAUGGUUCGAAAUUGAAAGGCGGCUUGGGCUGUCACUUAUGGAUGGACCCGCGCCGCAUUAGCUUGUUGGUGAGGUAACGGCUCACCAAGGCAACGAUGCGUAGCCGACCUGGGAGGGUGAUCGGCCACACUGGGACUGAGACACGGCCCAGACUCCUACGGGAGGCAGCAGUAGGGAAUCUUCCGCAAUGGACGAAAGUCUGACGGAGCAACGCCGCGUGAGUGAUGAAGGCUUUCGGGUCGUAAAACUCUGUUGUUAGGGAAGAACAAGUGCUAGUUGAAUAAGCUGGCACCUUGACGGUACCUAACCAGAAAGCCACGGCUAACUACGUGCCAGCCGCCGCGGUAA